rnacentral:lncRNA from 1 species
UUUAGAAAUUUCAAAUUGUCAAAACUUCACAGGUCUUCCAAACAACUUGGGUUCUCUUAAAUCCCUUACACAUUUAAAGAUUUCAAAUUGUCAAAACCUCACAUGUCUUCCAAACAACAUGGGUUCUCUUAAAUCCCUUACACAUUUAGAUAUUUCAUAUUAUGAAAACCUCACAUGUCUUCCAAACAGCAUGGGUUCUCUUAAAUCCCUUACACAUUUAAAGAUUUCAAAAUGUCAAAACCUCACAUGUCUUCCAAACAACAUGGGUUCUCUUAAAUCCCUUACACAUUUAGAUAUUUCAUAUUGUGAAAACCUCACAUGUCUUCCAAACAGCAUGGGUUCUCUUAAAUCCCUUACACAUUUAAAGAUUUCAAAAUGUCAAAACCUCACAUGUCUUCCAAACAACAUGGGUUCUCUUAAAUCCCUUACACAUUUAGAUAUUUCAUAUUAUGAAAACCUCACAUGUCUUCCAAACAGCAUAGGUUCUCUUAAAUCCCUUACACAUUUAAAGAUUUCAAAAUGUCAAAACCUCACAUGUCUUCCAAACAACAUGGGUUCUCUUAAAUCCCUUACACAUUUAGAUAUUUCAUAUUGUGAAAACCUCACAUGUCUUCCAAACAGCAUAGGUUCUCUUAAAUCCCUUACACAUUUAAAGAUUUCAAAUUGUCAAAACCUCACAUGUCUUCCAAACAACAUGGGUUCUCUUAAAUCCCUUACACAUUUAGAUAUUUCAUAUUAUGAAAACCUCACAUGUCUUCCAAACAGCAUGGGUUCUCUUAAAUCCCUUACACAUUUAAAGAUUUCAAAAUGUCAAAACCUCACAUGUCUUCCAAACAACAUGGGUUCUCUUAAAUCCCUUACACAUUUAGAUAUUUCAUAUUGUGAAAACCUCACAUGUCUUCCAAACAGCAUGGGUUCUCUUAAAUCCCUUACACAUUUAAAGAUUUCAAAAUGUCAAAACCUCACAUGUCUUCCAAACAACAUGGGUUCUCUUAAAUCCCUUACACAUUUAGAUAUUUCAUAUUGUGAAAACCUCACAUGUCUUCCAAACAGCAUGAGUUCUCUUAAAUCCCUUACAUAUUUAAAGAUUUCAAAUUGUCAAAAC